ACGGAUGUGGAAGGGCGGGAAAGUGACCAGUGUAUAGAAAUGUCCGAAAGAAAGGCUUUAGAAUUUCUAAAGUGGGGCGGGGGGAGAAGUGUCAUGUUAAUGAAGAGGGAGAUCCGAAGGAUCGCGAAGUCGCCGUUGUGAUCUAUCGAUUGCCUUAUAUUAAUAACGAAAUGAAAAAUAGAAUAGAAUAUUCUUGAUUGGACACACAAGGAAUUUGUCUCCGGUGCAUAAGCUCUCAGUAUACAUACGUAUAAGCAACAAAGUGAUAACUCAUAAAUCAUAAGAUAACAAUCAUAAGUCAUAAGAUACAACCAAUAGGAAAAGGGGGAUUUUUGAAAUAUUUUUUUGGUUUAAUAUGUUAAAUAACAUACAGGUAGCCCUUCACUUGCAACCACAAUUGAGCUCAAAAUUUAUAUUGUUAAGUAAGUUUUGCCCCAUUUUUACAACCUUUCUUGCCACAGCUGUUAAGUGAAUCACUGCAGUUAAAUUAAUAACUUGGUUAAUUGAAUAUGGCUUCUUCAUUGACUUUGCUUGUCAGAAGUUUGCAAAAGAGGAGUGCAUGAUCCUGGGACAUUGCAACCGUCAUACAUAUGAGUCAGUUGCCAACUCUCUGAAUUUUGACCACAUAACCAUGGGGAUGCUGCAAUGGUUGGCUUUUGGUGGGGAGUUACUUUUGAAUCAGUCAUCCCACCCAGACAUCCCAAUCAGUCGUCUCAACCUGAGAAUUGUAAUGACUGAGAAUUGAGAAGAUGAAAGAGUACAGAAAAAAUGAUUAUGUUGUUUUGAUUCCCCAAAAUAAAUGAGAAUGGUAAUUGUUUGCUGAAUCCUUAAGAAAAAAAUCCACUUGUUUCUAAUGCAUGGUUUAUGCAUACAUCAUGGCAAAGUAAUGAAUAUAAAAGAAGAGUAUGCAUGAGACAAUAAGGAGAAAUAACAAGUGCAUUGCUGCUAUCUAAUUGCAUGAAUAUUGUUUUAAGUUACACCUGGCAUGCUAGCAAAAGAAAACAGUAAAAGGAAGAUAAAGAAUAGUCACAGUCCUAUCUGAUUAAAGAUACAACUCUGAAGAGAAGAAUUUACAGAUACAUUACAGUAUGCUCUGGUGCAUUUCUAUGAAAAACACUUUGUUUCAUUAUUGUUUAUUGUACUGUGUUACCCAAUAUUAAAUGCAGUAGAGAGUA